CCCUUAGAUGUUCUGGGCCGCACGCGCGCUACACUGACGAAUGCAACGAGCUUAUAACCUUGGCCGAAAGGUCUGGGUAAUCUCCAAAUUUCGUCGUGAUGGGGAUAGAUUAUUGCAAUUAUUAAUCUUCAACGAGGAAUGCCUAGUAAGCGCAAGUCAUCAGCUUGCGUUGAUUACGUCCCUGCCCUUUGUACACACCGCCCGUCGCUCCUACCGAUUGAAUGGUCCGGUGAAAUGUUCGGAUCGCGGCAAAUCGGACGGGUAACCGUCAGGUUCGCUGCGAGAAGUUCAUUAAACCUUAUCAUUUAGAGGAAGGAGAAGUCGUAACA
rnacentral:rRNA from 1 species